UGGGGAAUAUUGGACAAUGGGGGGAACCCUGAUCCAGCCAUGCCGCGUGUGUGAAGAAGGCCUUAUGGUUGUAAAGCACUUUAAGCGAGGAGGAGGGUACUGGUAUUAAUACUACCAGGUACUGGACGUUACUCGCAGAAUAAGCACCGGCUAACUCUGUGCCAGCAGCCGCGGUAAUACAGAGGGUGCGAGCGUUAAUCGGAUUUACUGGGCGUAAAGCGUGCGUAGGCGGCUAAUUGAGUCGGGUGUGAAAUCCCCGAGCUUAACUUGGGAAUUGCAUUCGAUACUGGUUAGAUAGAGUGUGGGAGAGGAUGGUAGAAUUCCAGGUGUAGCGGUGAAAUGCGUAGAGAUCUGGAGGAAUACCGAUGGCGAAGGCAGCCAUCUGGCCUAACACUGACGCUGAGGUACGAAAGCAUGGGGAGCAAACAGG
rnacentral:rRNA from 1 species